rnacentral:rRNA from 1 species
UACGAAGGGGGCUAGCGUUGCUCGGAAUGACUGGGCGUAAAGGGCGCGUAGGCGGAUUGUACAGUCAGGCGUGAAAUUCCCGGGCUCAACCUGGGGGCUGCGCUUGAGACGUGCGAUCUUGAGUGGGGAAGAGGGUCGUGGAAUUCCCAGUGUAGAGGUGAAAUUCGUAGAUAUUGGGAAGAACACCGGUGGCGAAGGCGGAUCUCUGGGCCAUUACUGACGCUGAGGAGCGAAAGCGUGGGGAGCGAACAGG